AUAGCAGAAUGGUUUGCCGCCCUUUUUGAGGGAGGAAAGUCCGUGCAACGCAGAGCGCCAUACUUCUUAACGGGAAGUCGGCUGUGAGGUUGAAUUAGCGUAGCAGAAAACAACCGCCCGCAAGGGCAAGGGUGAAAAGGCAGGGUAAGAGCCUACCGUUUUGGCAGCAAUGUCGAAAGCCGUACGCAUUAUGGGUUGAAAGUUCAAGUAAACCAACGUUUAGGGUUGCUCGCCCAAGUUGGAGGGUAGAACGAUAGAGGCAAAUUGUGAGAUUUGUCCCAGAUAAAUGGCAAACAUUCCAUUGGAAUACAGAACACGGCUUAUAGUUCUGCUAUUUUU
rnacentral:RNase_P_RNA from 1 species